GGGAAGUUGGCUCAGUGGUAGAGUACUUGCCUCGCAUGCAUGAGGCCCUGGGUUCGAUUCCUUAGCACCACA
rnacentral:tRNA from 1 species